AGAAGCUCAACAGGAGCGUCCUGAGAAUACAUGAGAUUCAAGAUUUUAUGUUGUAUUCAUGUGUUCUCAGGUCGCCCCUGCUGGACUUUC
rnacentral:pre_miRNA from 1 species